GUACUUCAAUCAUAAGCCUCUCUAGAGAUUGAAAAACAUUGGAGGUAAUGGCCACCGGCCGAUAGUCAUUGUCCUCUUGAGGGCAUACUUUCUUGGGUACCGGGAUUAUGAUUGAUUUUUUCCAUUAGUUGGGUACUGUGAAUGUGUCUAUGGAGAGCUGAAAUAAUUUGUGCCGUACUGGAGAGAGUUCAUCUGCAAAAUUUUUGAGAAAGAAAGCCGACAGUCCCGCUACUCUGGAGCUCCAGGAAGACCUCCAGACCUUUGGCACCCAACCGCACCACUCAGUCCAAUUACGGGACCCAUUUCGGACUCAGACGCGACGUUGUCCCGCUACUCUGGCGCUCCAGGAAGACCUCCAGACCGUUGGCACCCAACCGCACCACUCAGUCCGAUUACGGGACCCAUUUCGGACUCAGACGCGACGUUUUCCCGCUACUCUGGAGCUCCAGGAAGACAUCCAGACCGUUGGCAACCAACCGCCACACUCAGUCCAAUUACGGGACCCAUUUCGGACUCAGACGCGACGUUGUCCCGCUACUCUGGAGCUCCAGGAAGACAUCCAGACCGUUGGCAACCAACCGCCACACUCAGUCCGAUUACGGGACCCAUUUCGGACUCAGACGCGACGUUGUCCCGCUAAUCUGGAGCUCCAGGAAGACCUCCAGACCGUUGGCAAACAACCGCACCAUUCAGUCCGAUUAGGGGACCCAUUUCGGCCUCAGACGCUACGUUGUCCCGCUACUCUGUUUGUAAUGCUCAUACACCUUUCUUAUACUCAGUGUAUCACACGAAGCCCAUAAAAUUACAGUGAGCCACCUGCUAAAUUUCUUGUUUACUAGACCCCUGGUAGAUAUUAUGACCCCUGGGAGUCUAAACACAACCCAUGGGAGUCUAGAACUUUUGUGCUCUAAAAAAUAAUGCUUAGGGGGUGGGGCAUUGGAGGAAGGCGGGAUGAUUUGAAUGUGCUGUAAUUCUCAAAUGCAACAAAGGUGAGAGUCCCUUUAAGGAACACAAGCGUCGAUUUUAAAACCGUCAAAUUUUCAAAACAUUGAACUUUGCAAAACUUUGAAAGUGUUUCCCUCUUAUAUGAUCCUUUUGAGGUAGAAUUUCAUGUCCGUAUCGAUACAUUUAGC
rnacentral:lncRNA from 1 species